AGAGUUUGAUCCUGGCCUCAGGAUGAACGCUGGCGGCGCUGCCUAACACAUGCAAGUCGAGCGAUUCUUUUCGGAGAAGAGCGGCGGACGGGUGAGUAACGCGUGGGUAACCUGCCCUGUACACACGGAUAACAUACCGAAAGGUAUGCUAAUACGGGAUAAUGUACUUUUGUCGCAUGGCAAAAGUAUCAAAGCUCCGGCGGUACAGGAUGGACCCGCGUCUGAUUAGCUAGUUGGAGAGGUAAUGGCUCACCAAGGCAACGAUCAGUAGCCGACCUGAGAGGGUGAUCGGCCACAUUGGAACUGAGACACGGUCCAAACUCCUACGGGAGGCAGCAGUGGGGAAUAUUGCACAAUGGGCGAAAGCCUGAUGCAGCAACGCCGCGUGAGCGAUGAAGGCCUUCGGGUCGUAAAGCUCUGUCCUCAAGGAAGAUAAUGACGGUACUUGAGGAGGAAGCCCCGGCUAACUACGUGCCAGCAGCCGCGGUAAUACGUAGGGGGCUAGCGUUAUCCGGAAUUACUGGGCGUAAAGGGUGCGUAGGUGGUUUCUUAAGUCAGAGGUGAAAGGCUACGGCUCAACCGUAGUAAGCCUUUGAAACUGAGAAACUUGAGUGCAGGAGAGGAGAUUAGAAUUCCUAGUGUAGCGGUGAAAUGCGUAGAUAUUAGGAGGAAUACCAGUUGCGAAGGCGGCUCUCUGGACUGUAACUGACACUGAGGCACGAAAGCGUGGGGAGCAAACAGGAUUAGAUACCCUGGUAGUCCACGCCGUAAACGAUGAGUACUAGGUGUCGGGGGUUACCCCCCUCGGUGCCGCAGCUAACGCAUUAAGUACUCCGCCUGGGAAGUAC
rnacentral:rRNA from 1 species